ACCUCAUUAUGUGCAACGUUAUAAACUGUGAACAACCCCUCAACUUCAUCAACUACCUCAUUAAUGCACCCUUCUCUGCCACCUAAAUCAUCAAUUGCCUCAUUAAUAUGGCAAUCAUUUUGUAGCCCACUAAAAUGUUGAACGUCCACGUCAUCACUUCGGUCUACUACAACCGCACAAGGUUUUCGUUCCUCCCCGCGGAGAGGCACUUCCAUCUCCUCCACCAUCGUGUCCUCGCCCAUACCUCCAUGGAAAUUUAAAUUACUACCAAAUUUUGACUCUUCCGAUACACC
rnacentral:lncRNA from 1 species